GACGGAGGAUGCAAGCGUUAUCCGGAAUGAUUGGGCGUAAAGCGUCCGCAGGUGGCAGUUCAAGUCUGCUGUCAAAGACCGGGGCUUAACUUCGGAAAGGCAGUGGAAACUGAACAGCUAGAGUAUGGUAGGGGCAGAGGGAAUUCCUGGUGUAGCGGUGAAAUGCGUAGAGAUCAGGAAGAACAUCGGUGGCGAAGGCGGCAUCCUGGACCGAUAUUGACGCUGAGGCGCGAAAGCCAGGGGAGCAAACGGG
rnacentral:rRNA from 1 species